UUUCUUGAUGAGGAACUGCCUGCACCUUUGGGCUCCAAGUUUAGCUCAGCAAUGCCACUGGGUGUGGGGGGCAGCUAUUUAAAUGGCUGGCAGCAGCAGGGCCCCUGUAUACACAGGGGGAGCAGGGCAUGUGGAUGGGCUCCAGAAGCACAGAUCAGAGCUGGGGAAACCUGUCCCAGCCUACAGAACACUGCUCCUGAGCGAGGCCAUUCUCUGCAGGUACCAGCGGGAGAUGCUGUUGGACUCCUGGGAGUUGGGUAAUUCACCCUCCCCCAGUGCCAAAGCCAGGUCAGCCUGAGGAAGUGCUGCUGACAGCACAGCUGGAAAAGAAGGCGUCAGAUCCAUGGAGAGAAGCUGGACCAUAUCUCUGAGAAGCCAGUGCAGUAAAAUUUUUAAGAAAUUUUUGAACACUGGAAGAUAAAACAACUCUAGGCUGACCCUUUUUUGACCUACUUCCUCUAAAGUUCUGCAUGUAUCAGUUCCUGUAGUCUUAUCUGUAGUGAUCUGCUGCACGAUGACAGAAACUGUGCCCUCCCAAAGCCUUCACCCUGUCCUGGCUCGCUCACAAGGCUACACUCCAUGUAACAAUAAGCCAAGCCCCAUCAGUGACUUUCCUCAGAGCGCGGCUCUUCGAGCUGAGCUCCUCAGAAACCUCGAGCAACCAUAGUCCUGCUGCUUCCUGAAAGGAGCGGGGGAGUGCGGAGGCCUGAGCCCUCAGAAGUGCCCAUGAGCAGGUGUCUUAACACGUGGCUGAAACAGUGUCAAGCCACUGAUCACAACCAAAAUGUUUCUCUUUGAUCCCUUCCUGCGAACCACAGUCAUCAGCUUAAUGGCCUCAUCUCACCGACAGGAGUUUCUCAUGCCAUGCUGAAAACUGGAACUGAGUCUUAACACUUAUUGGGAUAACAAGUGGUUAAGGUCAUGGAUUUAAAGCACUUCUCUUGACUAAACCCAAAGCAGUCAUUUAUCAGAGCAUCCCCCGAACUUCACACAUGAACUCCCCUCUCCUUGGGAAGAGUCCUUGAAUUCUACACGGGGUCUGUGCACCAAUAACUGCAGGAGGUGCAAGCAGUGCUCAUUUACAGAACUGCCUCUCUAAGGAAGGAGCCUUUUGUAUACCUCUCCUUGAAGCCACUUUGACCGAACAGGAGUAGCUACAGUGUUCACUGGAACACAGCAGCUCUGGAACACUUUCCAGUGAAGGACAUGAAUCCCAGGUUGUUACCCAAAGUCUGAGAACAGAGGAUGUGUUGAUUGCAAGAAGAUGAGUAAAACCUACCUGUUUUAGUCCUUCAUGUAUGUAUGUCUCACCUGCUGGUGUCACCUCCUCCAGAUCCUUUAGACCUUUCUUGAUUUUUUCCCUGUGAAUGAAAAAAAGGUAAGAGCCUGUUUGUGUGACCUGAAGUAUGAAAAGGGCGUAAUUUAUCAGUUGAAAAAAGGUAUUUGUCCUCAAGGAGAACUGAAAUGAAAAGCUGUAAAUUAGAGCCUUUACCUAGAAUCCCAUGUGGAGGCAGACUGUGUGUUCAUGACAGAAGUGGCGCUGUGGGAACAGGUAUUUCAGACCUAUCUAACAAAAUAUGCUUCAGUGAGUCAAAAAGCUGGGAUCAAGGAAAAUGUCCAGGUGGAGCAGAUAUUGCAAAGAGGUGGCAAAGCCUCAGCAUUACAUAGACCAGUGGAAAUUCUGUUGCAUUAGGUCUAUUUUGCUACUCAACCAACUCUGCUUCCAAUCACAUUGCAGUUAAAGAAGAAAUCCCCUAAAACAGCAGUUCUAUUUCAGCAGAAAUCUUCCAGACCAAUAUGUACAAAUUUAAUCACACAGAACUGAACUUCAAUAAUUAAAACCUUUGCCCUGAAGAAAACAUCAAUAGGCAAAUGCAGCAUUCUCAAGACACCUUUUGUUCGCAUGGGAAAAGAGCAGGAUUGAGGACAGAUUUAAAAUUUGACUGUUACAACCUUUUUGUGUGACCUUUCAUAAGACAUCCCACACAGGUCCACAGCUCACUUAGAUUUAACGGCAGAAUGCAUCUGCUCCAUGAUUUUUCACAAGCAGUACAGCAGAUCCACCUGGAAGAUGCUCUCUAACUAUGGAGCUGAAAUGGUUAAAGUUGAUAGACUGCACCACAGGAAUUAUUUCCAGUGAAAUCAGCACAAGUGGGGGGAACAAAGGCAGGGAGACUACUGAAAGAAUCAAAUCUGGAGAGUCUUCAUUCUUCUGCACACACAGUUUCAGCCAAGUCCAUGGAAAGUCAUGCUAGGAAAGGAUGAGCAAAAACUAAGAAGGGGCAAAAUUUGGGCCAGAAUAUAUAGAACACUGUGACAAAUCUAGGUGAGAAAGAGGAACCCAGCAGGGGUGAGGAGAUGGAGGGAAAAUACAUCGCGGGAUGCGUGAAAGCUUUCCUUAGGCCAGACCAAAUGAGAAAGAAUGCAUAUGCCACACUGCCUGAAUGCCACCCACUCGUCAUUUGUUCCACGGAUGGGCUUCCUCUAUGUUUAGCAGCUCUGUUCCAAAGUACAAUCCGUAGCUGGAAUAAGCUCCCCGUCACAGGAUCCACUGAUACAACCAGGGAGGGGAGGGAGUAGAAGAGAUAUGUGGCAUUGAAUGUAUGGAAGGGAACAAGUUAUGUAAGAUAAUACAAUCUGUUUGAUCCAAAUAUUUUACAUUCAGCAUCUAUAGAAACAACUUGCAAGUGAUUAUGUACGAACGCAGAUUAUAAACCACAGAGUUGGUGCUUGCCAGAAAUGAGUGGCAGCACAUCACAGGCGUUAGUGCUCUGCUGCCAAGAAACAAGCAGCAACUCAAGUCCCAGUUUUCUGAAACAGAUUUUAUUUUGCAAAAAUAGCUUUUGUACAAUCAGUUCGGUUUUAUUUAUCUGCAAUGUCUUGUGACCCGGUCGCACAGCAAUCUCUGGUGCUGCCAGGCCUCUGCCUACAAGGGGUUGCAGAAAAAUCUUUGGUAGAGUGAGCUCUUUUAGCUGUGUUUAAUCAGGCACCAUCUCGUGCCCUGAGGGCACAGCUGCACCAGACAGACCCAGCCAGAUGUCAACUAGCUCCCACCAUUCUCCAAGCUGGUCAAGUGCAAGCGGGUCCUGGUCUGGAUGUCAGAAGGCCAGUGUGGAUGCAGGACAUGGGACCCCAGAACCCACAGGAGGGGGGCUCCAUCACUCUAAAACUCACCCCUGGCUGGUCUGAAGGCCAGGCACGGGGGCUCGUACCUGCCUGCACUGUCCUAGUCCUGAAUGCGACUCAGCAGUCAACCAGUCACAGCACUCAGGACCCCCAUUCCUGCUUCUCAGUGCUCUCACAACUUCCCUUUCUCUGGUUUCUGAAAGGCUGUUUGGUGGUCACGGAAGUCCCCAGGGAAGUUCUGGUUGUAUAAUUCAUCUGUACUGUGACAGCAGAGCCCUCAGCCUGUGUGCCCAGACAUCCCACGGCACAGCUCGGGAACGCUAGCAAAGGCUGAGGGCCACUGCUUUGUGGUGCAAGUCAGAAAAGGGAUGGAGGUGGAAGAGGCAAAACAGAAUCAGCAACUUGCAGCCUGUCUGUGUUUGGGCUGAAUAAGUACAAAUUUAAUAUCUUUUACCCACUCAGCAUAUGUGCUGCAGCCCAUUUCUGUGUUUUAGCACAGGCACAGCUAAUUUUUAAUAGCUACCCCGUCUGUUCUCUCUCUAAGCUGUGUAACUGCCUCAGACAGCUCCUCCAGCAGCAGCCAGGCAAACACCGCUGCUAAUACCCAUGCAGAUUCCAGAAUGGGUGUUCUUAACUCCUCAGAGUGGGGGACAGUAUUCUGUAUGUCUUUUCCAUGUUGUAUUCCACCUAUUGAAGUGCUGGAAUCUUGAAUUAUCUCAAUGUGAUGAGCAUACGAGCACUGGCAGGAGAUGGUGGCUCUCACUGAGCAUGUGUUUCUGGUGAGAAAUGAGGCUGUGUGCUGCAAGGCAACAGGCUCAUCCCUAACAAACGAAGGCAAACAAAACAGGUACUUGGGGUUUGCUGCUAAGAAGGAUGUGCAGUAAACAGGAAAACACACACACGUGUCAGUGAAACCGAGAGGGGAAGUGUUCUUUGACAAAAAGAGGGAUGGCUCCAUCUCUGAUGAGGCAAGCUGUCCUACUGGUGAAAGGAAACCCUGCACAAGCCUCCUCAGAUGCAUCAUUUAGAGGAGGCUUAUGCCUUCUAGGCCUCUUAAAUACUACAGAGGGUUGAUCCACUUAAAAGAAUUACUCUGCUUCAAACCUGAGGCCUCCUGCACGGGCUCCAGAUGAAAACCACAUCAGUGGCCAAGUCUGCUGUACUCGAUACACGCAGCAGAACGCACUCUCUGCAGAUUGAGUCUCUUUUGGCAAGCUGCCCUGGGCCCACGUGCAGGGGCAGCUCACGCGACUGAGGCCCCAAAUGCGUCUAUGUCUCACACAUCCCUGUGAAACCAGGAGCAGUCAGUGCACCACUGGACUAGGGACAAGGACAGGAUGGUUGGUCAUGUAACCAGGUACUCAAGCAUCCUACUUUCCCACCUUCACUAGCACCAUCUCUCUUUAUCUCCAGCAGGAGUUUCACCCAGGCAGAGGCAGCAGGGCUCGUCCUGGCCACUGGCACUGGUCAGUGCUGCCAAAGCAGGCUCACAGAAAUCUGAACUGCUGCUGGCCAGCACAGCUGGCCAAAAGAGAACAAAGGCAACAUCAUGCCAGCUGGAUGGCAUUCCUGCGGGUACCCACUGUCCCAAACCACGUGCUUUCCAACAGUAAGCCCUAAAGGUUCAAAACCCAGAAGGCUGUACAUGGCGGUAGCUUCUGGACAGAAGGGAGAGAGCAGAGGUCAUGUUGGUUUUGAGAAAGCUGAGAGGAUACGGAAGGACUCUGACAGCAGUGCCACUGUCCUCUGCUGAGAGCACUCAAUCCACACGACCAUUUCCCAAUUUCUGGGAGUUCGACAUGAAAAAAUCCUGAAAACCACAGAAUGGUUUGAAUGGUUUUUGCUUUACAAAAGCAAAUGGAAGCAUCAUUCUCACACUGUGCCAAGCGAGAUGCAGAGUCACACAGAGAUGAAAACAUUACUGCUAGUUUUUCUGCAAAGCAGUGGCAGAGGAAUGUACUUUUGAACUACAAACCCAAAACGAGAGGAGUUAAAGCAUUGUUGUGCACCUUCUCCUCACCCAGAUGCUCGGGAACGGAGCAGCAGAACUGUUACUCUCUCCCAAGUGACAGUCUCUGGUGAUGUGGCACCCCCAGGCACGGCAGGGUGACACAAUGUCGAUUUCCAGCCCUGCUUUUUGUUUAUGUUUAUCAAAUCCUCCCAGUCUCAGAAGCAGUGCCUACUGACUGCCCCAGCCCCCAGAAAGCAGCAUGCAGGGUCUUCCAGAGUGACACUGCCUUUGUUCCUCUGGCCAGAGACUUGUGAGACUUGAAAACUUCUUCCCUGAAAGCAUCAUGGGAAAUGUCAUGGUUGCAGUGAAUCAUAUCUACCUAGCAGUGGAAAACAUUUAGGAGUUGCCUGAUACUCUGGAGGCCCAAGACAGGAAUUUUCCCAAGAGCUUACAAAACAACUUCAAAAAGUUUCUGUCGCCCCCUGGACAGAAGUUUUGCAUAAGUUUACAGAAGAUUUGCUUUUGACAAGAUGACAAUAAGCUAUAUUUGCUUAUAAAAGGCUAAUUGGAUCAUCCUGUUCUUAGCAAGCCAAGAUUAUAACUGCACUCUGCACUGGGUUUUCCUCAGCAAAUCCUUCCACAGCAUCUCCCCCUUUGUGUGGUGAGGGAUUCAAUGGGUUUAUUCUGGGUUUUGUGGUAGGGUUUUUUAAAGCAAAGCACUGCAAUCUUCAGUUGUUUGUACAGAGCAGUCAGCCAGGAUUUGCAGCAGCUAUUUCAAGAGGAGCUGGACUUGCCCGACAACACUGCUGACAGUAACAAAGUUGA